rnacentral:RNase_P_RNA from 1 species
AACAGAGAGUAGACCGCCGGCUUUGGCCGGUAAGGGUGCAAGGGCAGUGUAAGAGACUACCGCGGGCCUGGUAACAGGAACGGCAUUAUAAACCCCAUCUGAAGAAAGACCAAACAGGAAGCAUAGGGUGGCUCGUCCGCUUCCGGGUAGGUUGAUGGAGGCGUAUGGCAACAUACGUCCUAGAUAGAUGACCACUUGAUACAUAACCCGGCUUAUUACGAUACUCAGUUC